UCGUUGCAAUGCUUCCACAAAUUAAAACUUCCUUGUUUAUCAUCAAUGCAAGUAUAAAUAUAGACCGUGUAAGCUCCAUCAAGAAUCACAAAACUGGAGCUACAAGACUACUCAUUUUUUCUUGAUGCUUAAUUAGAAUGUUUGGAAACACCAAUUCUACGUCGUGCUAGAUUAAAGUUUAAACAAGAAGAUCGGACUACGCGAAAUUUUUCUGGAAUUAGAGUUUAUUUUGACAUUUAAAUUUAAUUAACAAAGCGAAGAAGAAGAAAAUAAUACAAAGGACUUUCUUCUCAGAAGAAUUUCCUUAUAAGAUCACGUGACAACGGGGUCCCGCAAUCGAAUCUGGAAAGAGACGCUCAAGCAACCAGAGGACUUUCGCCAACUUUCCAAAUGUAGAAGCUUCUCAGCCGUAUUGAAAUCUGCCUUCGAGAAGAAGAAGAACGAAAACACUGGCAACGAGCUUGUCUAAAACGGGGAAAAAGUUUCGCUACAGCUCGUUGAACCGGUAAGAACGAUACGGUUGCGAGUUUCGCGGCUGACGGAAGAUACCAGAACGACGAUUAUUUGGUUAUCGCGUUGAGUCUCGCGCUGAUUGGACAGUCCUUGAGUGUUAGCUUGUUACUUGGACGUUGGUCUUCCAGUUCUCGCGAUUGGUACUCCUAGAACUUCCGAUUGAAAUUGCAUCGCGUCCCUAAUUAACGGUAAGAAUUUCGUCGAGGCGAUCCUCCAGCCACAGAAUCGCCCUGAUUGCUGUUUACCUUACGUGCUUUCUUGUACCGAAUCAAAGAAAUAUACUACAUAUAGAAUAUAUAUAGAAAGAAUAGCCUCGUUUACUGGUUGGUUGGAACUAAACGGGUGAUUGGGGACGUGGGGACUUAGUUUGUAGUAGUUUGUGGAGGUUCGUGGGGCAGGUUAAGAGUAAAAUCGUGGAAGUUUGAUAGAGUCAGUUUGGCAUUAUUUGAAAACUUGGGUACAAAUGAGAUUGGUAAGAUAUUUAGAGUUUGAAGUUUGAAUUCUUUCUGAAGUUAUAGAAAUAAGAUUAAUUUGAAUGGUAUUUUUAGGAUUAAGAAUUUUGUAAUGAUGGAAUAAUGGCAAUUUCUACAUUAGCUCCUCUCGUCUACCUUUUUAGUCUUUGAACGAAGAGCAUUUAGUAAGCAUCUCUUAUAUGGAUAAGAAGUUUCUUCUUUUCGGUAGUUUUAAGUAUUAUUUUAUCUCCUACAGUAUAACAAACUUAUAGUAUAUAUAAGAUUAGUGUGAUAUGUAUAGCGUAAAUGCUACUAAGAUACAUAAAUAUUCCUGUCUUUCAAUAUAUAAGUUUGAUACCAUAAUAGUGAAAAACAUGUUGCACAUAUUUAAUAAAACUAUUCAAAGAACGAGCACCUAGUUAUGUGAUAUUUUCACAAAAAAAAAAAAAAAAUAAAAAAUUGUUAAAAGAAAUAUAUAAAUGACUACCCAAAUGAUUGCCCAGGCAAAGAUUGAGUCU